rnacentral:rRNA from 1 species
AUUGAACGCUGGCGGAAUGCUUUACACAUGCAAGUCGAACGGCAGCACGGACUUCGGUCUGGUGGCGAGUGGCGAACGGGUGAGUAAUACAUCGGAACGUGCCCAAUCGUGGGGGAUAACGUAGCGAAAGCUACGCUAAUACCGCAUACGAUCUAAGGAUGAAGGCGGGGGAUCGCAAGACCUCGCGCGAUUGGAGCGGCCGAUGGCAGAUUAGGUAGUUGGUAGGGUAAAGGCCUACCAAGCCGACGAUCUGUAGCUGGUCUGAGAGGAUGAUCGGCAACACUGGGACUGAGACACGGCCCAGACUCCUACGGGAGGCAGCAGUGGGGAAUUUUGGACAAUGGACGCAAGUCUGAUCCAGCCAUUCCACGUGCAGGAUGAAGGCCCUCGGGUUGUAAACUGCUUUUGUACAGAACGAAAAGGCUCUGGUUAAUACCUAGGGCUCAUGACGGUACUGUAAGAAUAAGCACCGGCUAACUACGUGCCAGCCGCCGCCGUAA